rnacentral:lncRNA from 1 species
ACCAUUAUUGUUGGUUAAAACAGAUUUUCUGGUGCAGUAGUCUGCUCUUUACAUUGUGUUACCAUUAGAAAUCGUGACAUUCAAGUAUGACAUGAUUGUUGUCGUGGAUUUCGCUGCAUGACUUGACCUUCUUCUUAUCAGAUUAUGGCUGAACACUCGCAUCAGAUACCUCAAGCCUCCGGGUCGGAUGCAUAUUGAUCUUAGGGUCAUUAGGGAAGA